UCUCAGGCACGCAUCCUCGAUGAAUGCGAUUGCGCAGCCGGACAUUGACUAGAAAGACCAGCUUGCUUCGUAAGAUCGGCCCGAUAGCGAGGCGGUCAAGCUUCGCUAAAAGGGAUCAUUUACAACCCGCAUCCAAUCUUGCGAUUGAAAGCGAGCGCCGAAAUGAUCCCGGAGAUAAUGAAUGGCUCAGGCGAAUUGCUUCGCUUGAUCCAAACUCGGAUCGAUCUCCUCUUUACGAUGUCAGAAAACACGCACGUCACCGUCCAUCCGGACCAAUGAGUGCGAAGUGAUGUUUCGCGGACGAAAUGAACGAGGCGCUAUCGAGCUUCAAUUCCAUCUGGUGGAGCCAGACGGGAUCGAACCGACGACCUCAUGCUUGCAAAGCACGCGCUCUCCCAGCUGAGCUAUGGCCCCGUACCAGAAGACGAAGCGCAUUGUUGAUACCCGCUCGCCUUCGCCAAGGCUGCGGCGCAGCAGCCUUCAUCUUGAAGGGCCUGCCUAGCCGAAGCAGCGAAGCGCGAAGGCUGGUGGGCCUGGGAAGACUUGAACUUCCGACCUCACGCUUAUCAAGCGCGCGCUCUAACCAACUGAGCUACAAGCCCCUAACACGAGAGACAUGCCGGCGCGCACUCGACAUCAAGCCGGUGCAUCGCACAGCGCUCAGCCCCUGGCGCGUGUUCGUCCGCGAAGAAAGAGAAACGAAGACGGCGAAAUCCCGCCAAUGGAGCUCAACAAUCCUGAAACUGUUGGCCCCUGAAUGUUUCUAAAACGAUCCGAUAGAUAGCGG
rnacentral:tRNA from 1 species